rnacentral:rasiRNA from 1 species
GAGAGUAUUAACUGACAAAAACCCCA